rnacentral:rRNA from 1 species
UACAGAGGUGGCGAGCGUUGUUCGGAUUUACUGGGCGUAAAGGGCGCGUAGGCGGCCGUGUGUGUGGGGUGUGAAAUCUCCGGGCUCAACCCGGAAAGUGCGCCCCAAACUGCACGGCUCGAGUUCGGGAGGGGGGAUCGGAAUACAGGGUGUAGCGGUGAAAUGCGUUGAUAUCCUGUAGAACACCGGUGGCGAAGGCGGAUCCCUGGAACGAAACUGACGCUGAGGCGCGAAAGCAGGGGGAGCAAACAGGAUUAGAUACCCUGGUAGUCCCUGCCUUAAACGGUGCACACUUGACGUGGGCGGAUUUCACCCCGCCCAUGUCGGAGCUAACGCGUUAAGUGUGCCGCCUGGGGAGUACGGCCGCAAGGUUA